rnacentral:lncRNA from 1 species
AGGAGAUGGGGAAGAAGGGGUGGUUGGGGAUGGAGGAGUGGUGGAGGUGGUAGGUGGAGUUGCCGUGGUGGUUGGUGGAGUGGCAGUGGAAGAUGGCGUUGGUGCAGAAACUGGAGUGGAAGAGGGUGCUGAAACAGGAGUAGGGGAUGGGGCCGGAACAGGUGUAGUGGUGGACUGAGGUGGAGGUGAAGGAGAUGAUGGUUGUGGGGCUGGAGCUGGGGUUGUUGCAGCACUAACAUUGAUCAUCAACUUCUGACCAGCACUGCAGUGACCAGUAAAAUUGCAGAUAAAGUAGUGUUCGCC